ACGGAGAGUGCGAACGUUGUUCGGAUUCACUGGGCGUAAAGGGCACGUAGGCGGCCCGGCAAAUCGAUCGUGGAAUACCGACGCUUACCGUCGGUGCGGCGGUCGAAAAUACCGGGCUCGAGGGCGAGAGGGGUCGCUGGAACUCCUGGUGGAGCGGUGAAAUGCGUAGAUAUCAGGAGGAACGCCGGAGGCGAAAGCGAGCGACUGGCGCGUUCCUGACGCUGAGGUGCGAAGGCUGGGGGAGCAAACAGGA
rnacentral:rRNA from 1 species